rnacentral:rRNA from 1 species
UGGGGAAUAUUGCACAAUGGGCGCAAGCCUGAUGCAGCCAUGCCGCGUGUGUGAAGAAGGCCUCGGGUUGUAAAGCACUUUCAGCGAGGAGGAAGGUGGUGAACUUAAUACGUUCAUCAAUUGACGUUACUCGCAGAAGAAGCACCGGCUAACUCCGUGCCAGCAGCCGCGGUAAUACGGAGGGUGCAAGCGUUAAUCGGAAUUACUGGGCGUAAAGCGCACGCAGGCGGUUUGUUAAGUCAGAUGUGAAAUCCCCGGGCUCAACCUGGGAACUGCAUUUGAAACUGGCAAGCUAGAGUCUCGUAGAGGGGGGUAGAAUUCCAGGUGUAGCGGUGAAAUGCGUAGAGAUCUGGAGGAAUACCGGUGGCGAAGGCGGCCCCCCUGGACGAAGACUGACGCUCAGGUGCGAAAGCGUGGGG